rnacentral:misc_RNA from 1 species
UCCGGUUUGUCACCGGCAGUCCCGACAGAGUCCCCGACAGCCUUUCGGCCUCGCUGGCAACAGUCGGCAAGGGUUGCGCUCGUUGCGGGACUUAACCCAACAUCUCACGACACGAGCUGACGACAGCCAUGCACCACCUGCACACCAGCCACAAGGGAAACCUGAUCUCUCAGGCGGUCCGGUGCAUGUCAAGCCCAGGUAAGGUUCUUCGCGUUGCAUCGAAUUAAACCACAUGCUCCGCUGCUUGUGCGGGUCCCCGUCAAUUCCUUUGAGUUUUAGCCUUGCGGCCGUACUCCCCAGGCGGGGUGCUUAAUGCGUUAGCUUCGGCACGGAUGGAGUCGACACCACCCACACCUAGCACCCAUCGUUUACGGCGUGGACUAC